rnacentral:lncRNA from 1 species
CGGUAGCUCCUUUCAGAUGAUAGUUUUUUUUAUUCAACUCUUUGACCUUCUUUUUCAGGUCACUUAUGCGAGCUCUAAUCUGCACAGCACAAACUGCUAGUAAAGGCUCAUCGAUGGGACCAAAAGAAAUAUAGCCAUCAGGACAAGCUGGCAUAACUGGACAAACAAAUGAAAAACAAUGCGAGUUCAAAAAAGGCACA